AGUGAACGCUGGCGGCAGGCCUAACACAUGCAAGUCGAACGGCAGCACAGUAAGCUUUUGCUUUUACGGGUGGCGAGUGGCGGACGGGUGACGAAUACAUCGGAAUCUACUUUUUCGUGGGGGACUUCGUAGGGAAACUUACGCUAAUACCUCAUACGAUCUACGGCUGUAAUCAGUGGAUCUUCGGCUUUUGCGCGACUCAAUCAGCCGAUGUCGGAUUAGCUAGUUGGCGGGGUAAAGGCCCACCAAGGCGACGAUCCGUAGCUAGUCUGAGAGGAUGAUCAGCCACACUGGAACUGAGACACGGUCCAGACUCCUACGGGAGGCAGCAGUAGGGAAUAUUCGGCAAUGGGCGCAAGCCUGACCCAGCCAUACCGCGUGGGUGAAGAAGGCCUUCGGGUUGUAAAACCCUUUUAUUGGGAAAGAACAACAGCAGCUUAAUACCCCGCUGUAUUGACGGUACCCAAAGAAUAAGCACCGGCUAACUUCGUG
rnacentral:rRNA from 1 species